CAGAUCUGAAGGGGGAAGGUUUCUUUGCUCCCUUAUUUGGAUUGAAAACAAGCACAUAAUGUUGGGUGUGAAUCGGUUUCCGACAUCGCGUUUAUUCAGGUGGAUGGCCUUGCGCCACUCUUCCAGCAACCUUUUUGUUGGAGAUAUUUUUGCCAUACGUUCGAGUUGAUGAUGUCAAUUCUUGUGCGGGACAGAUUGAAGCAAAGUCGCGAUGUGGAUUUGUUGAAUAUUCAAAUAGAGAUGUGGCAAUGGCAGCUAUAAAAUGCUCUUAAAUGGAAUUUAUAGAAUGGUUGUAAACAGCCGUUGAUUGUUCAAUUUGCUGACCCUAAGAGACCCAAGCCAGGAGAAACGAGGUUAUUUCCUUGCUUUUAAUAAUAAUUUAGCUAGGUGAUGCCCUACAUUAGGUGGUCUGGUGUUACUUUGGUCAUCGGUUACAGUCCCAGGGAUUACCUUUUCUAUAUGCUCAUUAUAAUUAUUUUGCUUUUUUUAAACUUUAUAUAUUUAACCUUCUUCAUGUCAACAAAUAUUUUUACGAGCCACCAAAUAUUGGUGAUGGGAUGCAGGGUUCUAUUCCUCGGAAUUCUAAUAUAUGAUUAUUUACAAAGCGUUAAUCCAUCGUUGGAGACUGGAAAUGCUAAAUUUGCAGCAUUCUGGACGAGACCGCAGAUCAUCUCCUCAUCGAGUGUUUGGUCUCUAAAAUUUUAUGGUGGCAUGUGUUGGUUUGGAUUAAGACUCUGCUGCCCGACAGUUUCAAUAUAUGUUCUUCUUAUAGGCCGUCUUGGUAGUUAAAACUUAAUUUUUCUUUUGGGGGGGGGGGAUACGGCUUGUUUUAUAUGCGUGGAUCUAUAUGCAUGGAUCUCGAGAACAACUCCAAAGAAGAGAAAAACUCAACCUACUGUUGCACUGCUGUAGAUGCUGAGCUAUAACUUCUUGUUGCAGUUUGAAGAUAUUGGUUCGCAUGAGACAAAGAUAAUCAAUCAUAUACAUAUACAACUUAUAUCCAUUGAAGGCAGCAGCUCGUGGCUGCCGUAACGACGCAGCGUGCGGCUGCCCAGACGCCGCAGCACAGCUGCAGGCAAACACAGCAACGUGGCUGCCGCUAAAACGCAGCGGCACGGCUUCCAUAACGCCACAGUGCGCGGCUGCCUUAACGCCACAGCGCGUGGCUGCCGAAACGUAGAGCGCGGCUGCAGAAACACUGUGGCCAAACGCAACGCGCACGACUGCUGGCAGAUGCAACGGGUGCGGCUGCCAUAACGCUGCAGCGUGCGGCUUCAGAAACGCGGCUUCAGGUGGUGGUGGUGGUGUUUCUGCUGAUGCUGCUGCAGCUGGCGUUGCACAAGCAGCCGCUGUUGAAUCAAAGAAAGAAGAAACGCUCAAAUAGAAAGAAGAGUCGGGCGAUGAACUGGGUCAAAGGUUAUGGCAUAUGAAGAGAUGAAGACAAUGGGCCAGAUGAUACACCUAAUAAAAGAGUAAUGUGAAUCUUUGAGAGGUAAAAGCCCAAGAAUUUUGGUACUGUUUGGUUGCAAGUAAGCAACUGGUUGGUAUUCAUAUAGAUAAAGAGUAAUCCACCGACAAUGUUCAGAAUAUCAAAGUGUCAUGUGUUGAUAGAGGAUUGAUGGAAUAAACAAGGUGAUUGGAUGGAAUAAAAGAGUGAUGUCCAUACAAAAGUCGUAUUUUUCACUUGCCACAUUCUAAGUGAUUAACGUCGAUACAUUUUAUGGCGUCUAAGCACUCAUAAACGACAAAGUGCUGGUGGAAUGCAUAGCAAGUUACCUAACAAGAGGAUCAUCAAAUCCAGUUUAUACGACAAAGGCUUUAACAGGUUUUUCGUGGCAUCUAAUACCUGUUUGAUGGAGAUAUAUUUAGAAGGCUGACAAAUAACUGGGGCAGAAAAUGGCUUCACGCCUCAACGUGCGCCCUGACUUUUAAACUGAUCUACACGUCAUUACAGGAAAGGGUCUCUCUCGUUGUCUGCUAACAAGAAGCAUGGUUUUAUCAUCACUGCGUUGUACUGUUUUAAUUAUGUAAUGUUUUAUGAACCUGGGACUUAGAAUAAAAGCUUUGGAGUUACUGUUUUAAUUAUGUAAUGUUUUAUGAACCUGGGACUUAGAAUAAAAGCUUUGGAGUUCCAGGUCAAGUUUGAAUCUAGAAACAUGUGGCAUGCAUGUGGUGUAAGCUACUUUUUUAUAUGUAAUGUAAGUAAUGUUGUUUAUGUUGA